AUUGAACGCUGGCGGCAGGCCUAACACAUGCAAGUCGAACGAGUGGCGGACGUGUGAGUUAUGUCUGGGAAAGUGCCUGAUGGAGGGAGAAAAACACUGGAAAGUGUCUCAAAUCCCACAUACCCGGAGAUGUGCACAGAUGGGAUUCGCUUGGUGGUGGGGUAACGGCUCACCAAGGCGACGAUCCCUAGCUGGUCUGAGAGGAUGACCAGCCACACUGGAACUGAGACACGGCCCAGACUCCUACGGGAGGCAGCAGUGGGGAAUAUUGCACAAUGGGCGCAAGCCUGAUGCAGCCAUGCCGCGUGUAUGAAGAAGGCCUUCGGGUUGUAAAGUACUUUCAGCGGGGAGGCGUUACCCGCAGAAGAAGCACCGGCUAACUCCGUGCCAGCAGCCGCGGUAAUAC
rnacentral:rRNA from 1 species